rnacentral:rRNA from 1 species
AGCGAACGCUGGCGGCGUACUUAACACAUGCAAGUCGAACGAGGAUCGUCGGUGUAGCAAUACAUUGGCGGUCCUAGUGGCGCACGGGUGAGUAACACGUGGGUGACCUGCCCUCGAGCUCGGGAUACCCCCUCGAAAGGGGGGCUAAUACCGGAUACGUUCCUUGGUUGAAAGACUGGGGAGGAAAGGUGGCGCAAGCUGCCGCUCUUGGAGGGGCUCGCGGCCUAUCAGCUAGUUGGCGGGGUAACGGCCCACCAAGGCUAUGACGGGUAGCUGGUCUGAGAGGACGACCAGCCACACGGGGACUGAGACACGGCCCCGACUCCUACGGGAGGCAGCAGUGGGGAAUUUUCCGCAAUGGGCGAAAGCCUGACGGAGUGACGCCGCGUGUGGGACGAAGGCCUUCGGGUCGUAAACCACUGUCAGUGGGAAAGAUGGGUGUCGGUGUUAAUACCACCGGCAUCUGACGGUACCUGCAGAGGAAGCCCCGGCCAACUCUGUGC